CUACGGGGGGCUGCAGUUAAGUAUUUUUUACAAUGCACGCAAGUGUGAUAAAGCGAGCCAGAGUGAGUUUUCGUAUUGAAAACUCUUUUGCUUAGUGUAAAUAGCUAGGCGAAUAAGGACUGGGAAAGAUUGGUGCCAGCCGCCGCGGUAAUACCAACAGUUCAAGUCGCAGCCACAUUUAUUGGGUCUAAAACAUCUGUAGCUUGCUUUGCAAGUCUUCUGUGAAAUCUCAUAUCUCAAGUAUGAGGCGGGCAGGAGAUACUGCAAGGCUAGAGACCGGGAGACGUAAGGAGUACCUAUGGGGUAUCGGUAAAAUGAGUUGAUCCUGUAGGGACUAACGAUAGCGAAGGCACCUUACGAGCACGGUUCUGACAGUCAGAGAUGAAGGCUAGGGUCGCGAAAGGGAUUAGAUACCCCUGUAGUC
rnacentral:rRNA from 1 species